AAUGGCAGGAGACACCAUGAGAUGUUUUCUACUGUAGAAACUUUCUCAUUAGAAAUAGCCCAUUUAUACAGGGGACUGGCUAAUGUUUUUCUAUGAGUAUCAUUAGCCAGUGUCUCAAAGUGGUGAAGAGUAAGUAUAUAGCAUCUUUCAAAAGACUGCAACCUGGAACAAGGAGAGACAAAGGGAAGGAGGAGUCUGGAGCCAUAUUGAAGAUGAAAUUGAGAUAUGGACUAGGUGGUGGAUCGUUUUUAUAAGAGGACAUAAAAGAGGAUGCUAAAGCUAAUUGCCACAAUCAGAACUCAAAGACCUAGCAAAUGCAAGACACUGGCCACCUCCCUGAACCUGGGCCAAGAUGAGGGUCUACACCUUGGCUUAGUUCUACUAUGAAAGACUUUCCUGCAGUAAAAGUUACCUGUCUGAAACAUUCAGAAGAGUGAAAAUGCCACAUCUCCAAUUUCCAGCAAUAUAUUUGUCUGCCAUGAUUUGGCCUGGAAGCUUAAGCAGGAAGACCACUUGGAGCCAGACUUCAGAGUGAUCUGUCUCUAAGGAAUAACUUUCAUAUUGCAGCGUUCGGUUUUGCAAUUCUUCCUAAGCUACUCUAAAUUCGCAGCAUAAAUCUGCAGAAAGACUUCACCCUCCACAUCAAACCCUUAUAAGGAUCCAUUUCUGCUCUCAUUUUAGAAUAUCUUUUCUAAUAGCUAAAGGCAGACAGAGGCAAACCAAGAAAUCCAGACUUUGCAUCAACGGGUUAAAUCAUAUGUCAAAGGUGCAACCAUAACGUAUUACAAGCUUCUCAUCACAUAAUACAUCACUCAAGAAAAAAUAUUUGGGCAGCUUUUCUAAUUCAUCUUCCUGGUGUUAAAGGAGCACAUCUCCAGUGUUCGUGUCUUCUGUUUCAAUUAAAGCAAUCAUGCCUACUCUUUUAGGAAACUA
rnacentral:lncRNA from 1 species